CCACAGUGACACUACUCUUCAAUUCCUUUCUUUCCUUAAAUAAUCUUCGAUUCCUUUCAUCACAUCUUAUCUACAAGUCUUUGUUUGUGAUGAUUGUUGUACAUCAUGUGUCUUUCAUGUUCUUGGAUUUUGAUUUAGGAGACUGUGACUUGCCUGAUCUGGUGGUGAACUCUCCUAUGGUGCCCAGUGCAGUUAUAUGUCAGCUCGGUUGGUCACCCAUCUCCUCCUGUUCUUGAAUCUGUGAAGGCCUAAUGAGCCGAGAUGGUGAUUGUUUCGGUUGAUGAAGUAGGAGAGCAGGAGACUGGUGCCUGCCAGGGGCAAAGUACCAACCACCAAGGCAGUCCCACUCGAAGGUUUCGGAAGGCUUCAACCAAAUUGUCAUGGAUCACAAUUCUCCUUGUCCAUGAUGCAUUCAUUCUACUUCAUGUGCUGCAUCACCGACUCAUUCAUCUCACAGAAUGGAGUAGGCCACCCAUGUCCUUCGCUGCUUGACCUUCGAUCUAGUUGAAGCAGAUUGAUGUGGUGGUGCAUCAAUUCUGCACCAACUUCUCCUCCUCGGCUUCCGCACUGUUUCAUCACAGCCAGUGGUUGUGGUCGACAUUAAUGGCGCAGAGGUGAGCAGCAGCCAGCGGCAGAUAACAUCAAGCUUUAUGCGGAGGGUGGUUGACGGUCUCAACCAACCUGUGGGGUGUGCCUUGUGCGUCCACAAAUCGACAUGCUCCUCAUACAUUCCUUAGGGUUCACCAUGCAAUGAUCUGCAAAGGAGCUGCCAGUGAUUGGCUCUUCAGUGAGAAAACAAGAUUUCAGAACAUGCUUCCAUGGCAAGACAGCAGAUAUGUGAAGGACACAUGAAACUACAACCAAGAAAAGGCCUGAGACAGUGAACAAACAUACAUGACUGGAUCCAACUCUUGCUGGUACCAUUCUCGCUAGUAGCUGAGCCAUUAUUCCCUUUCAUAAUUGAAGAUAAGAAUGUGGAUAAUUCAUGCAAUGGUCCAGCCAUGGAGGUAGGGCCUCAAGAUAAGGAUGGUGAACUGUGCCCCAAGGAUUUACACUCAAUAACUUUCUCCUCCUACCUUGCCAGUUGCAGAGAUGAUGUUGUAAGCCCACAUCCACCACCAAUGGUGAGGUCAGGUGGGAGGGAGAGUCAGUCAGUGUGGGACUUGUUUCUGGACUUUUAAGAUAAGUUUCUCUGUGAUUGGACUGCGAUUGGAUGGAUGCCUUCAUCUUCUUAUCCACUCAAACAAUGCCUUCAUCUUUCCAAAAAAUCAGUUAUUUGGCUGAAUAAAAGUUUCUUAUUAUGAUAAGAAAAUAAUGUAGCAGU